rnacentral:rRNA from 1 species
GAUGAACGCUGGCGGCGUGCCUAAUACAUGCAAGUCGAGCGAACAGACGAGGAGCUUGCUCCUCUGACGUUAGCGGCGGACGGGUGAGUAACACGUGGAUAACCUACUUAUAAGACUGGGAUAACUUCGGGAAACCGGAGCUAAUACCGGAUAAUAUAUUGAACCGCAUGGUUCAAUAGUGAAAGACGGCUUUGCUGUCUCUUCUAGAUGGAUCCGCGCCGCAUUAGCUAGUUGGUAAGGUAACGGCUUACCAAGGCAACGAUGCGUAGCCGACCUGAGAGGGUGAUCGGCCACACUGGAACUGAGACACGGUCCAGACUCCUACGGGAGGCAGCAGUAGGGAAUCUUCCGCAAUGGGCGAAAGCCUGACGGAGCAACGCCGCGUGAGUGAUGAAGGUCUUCGGAUCGUAAAACUCUGUUAUUAGGGAAGAACAAAUGUGUAAGUAACUAUGCACGUCUUGACGGUACCUAAUCAGAAAGCCACGGCUAACUACGUG